rnacentral:rRNA from 1 species
GACGAACGCUGGCGGCGUGCUUAACACAUGCAAGUCGAACGGAAAGGCCUGCUUUCCCUUGUGGAUUGCGGGUACUCGAGUGGCGAACGGGUGAGUAACACGUGAGUGAUCUGCCCCCAACUUGGGUAUAAGCCUGGGAAACUGGGUCUAAUUCCCGAUAGGACUGCAGGGUGGUGCCUGUGGUGGAAAACGAUUUUCUAGUGGUUGGGGAUGAGCUCGCGGCCUAUCAGCUUGUUGGUGGGGUAAUGGCCUACCAAGGCGGCGACGGGUAGCCGGCCUGAGAGGGUGGACGGCCACAUUGGGACUGAGAUACGGCCCAGACUGCUACGGGAGGCAGCAGUGGGGAAGAUUGCACAAUGGGCGGAAGCCUGAUGCAGCGACGCCGCGUGGGGGAUGACGGCCUUCGGGUUGUAAACUCCUUUCGACCGCGAGGAAGCCACCUGGUUGGAAGGGUGGUGACGGUAGUGGUAGAAGAAGCACCGGCUAACUACGUG